UUUUUUUUUUUUUUUUUUUUUUUUUUUGCUGUUGCCGUAAAUGGCAGAAAAAUUGUUUUAAAUAUUUAGAAAACACCCAUCUGGGCUUUGGCGAGUCAUGAUAUUUAGCAGGUUGUCCAUGAUCCUCUAAAAGAAAAAAAGGCCUGUUUAUUUACAAGGGCUAGUUUGGGUUGGUCCUUCUGAUCCUGUAACGCCACGCAUUUCAGUUCCUCUAAAGGGUCAGCAACGUGACCGGCAGUGGCAAGGCCCUGACACAGUAUGGGAGGCUGUCCCGAUCAAGUUUACUGGAAGGUGCUGGAUCGCUCUGGGUGGGUUGUUGUUUGGGGGUUAGAUUAUAAACAGUUGGAGAGCGAAGAAUAAUUGGGAACAGGUGGUCCCAAGAGUCAGGUACCCGGAACGAUUCAUCUUUGCCCCUUUGACGGUAAAGGGAGGCCGGCGGGUGCCUGACUCUGGGACAGGCGGGCUGAGGGUCAGCCAGGGCUAGAGGGCCCCACUUUGGGACGAGCCUGGAGGGGUGGCUGAGGGGGUCUCUGCCCUCAGACCCAGAUCUCUAGAAAGCAGGGCUUCGUCAUCCCUAUCAUAACCCGUCUGACGAUACUAGGGCGCAGAUGUGGCUUCUUAGGCUCUUUUGCAAAGGCUGCCUCUGCUUUCAGAUAACGCGCAGGAAUUUAAAACAGGAAUGGAGAGGAACAGCCAGCCAAGGAGACAGGUUUACUUUUUACCAGUUUUGAGCAUGUGCGCCUAACCGACGGUCUUUGCCCAAUAAAGUCCAUUUAGACACAUUUAAAAAUGAACCAAGGAUUUAAAAGAGGUUAGAAAUUAUUUCGUCAUUUAGGAUCCAUAGUAUUGUGUCAAUAACAAGAAAACGGGUGUGAUUUCAGUGACACUGGAUUUUUUCCCCCUCUAGUUUCCUUUUGAGGCUGUAGUAAAGUUAGGUUUUUAAAAUCUGCAUUCUCAGAUUUUACAUAGCUAUUCCCACAGUCAUUCUGAGGAAAAUCGUCAGCUCUCUGUGAAUUUAACUGAAGGAAGAAUGAUAAAAUCGAUAUUUUUUCCCCCCAAAGACUCAGGAACUGGAGGUUUGACUACCUACCAUAUGAAUACAGCAACUUUUUGUCUCGAAUCAGUGGAAUGUGUCAGCUCGCCUUUCUUUUCUGUUCUUCUCCCAAGAAUGGUCUUUCAUAACUGAAAUGGACAGUGUAUUAGCCAAAAGACGUUUUAAUUUUGUAAAGAAAAAUCAUGCCAGAGACAGCCGAGUCUGUUUCAACCAUUAUUGUUUCUGUAGCGUGCAUACUUUGGGUUUCAUGGUAAGAUGUGGGUUUGCCAAGAAAGAAAAUUACAGCAAGAAACUAUGCUGAAAGUAUAUACACUUCUGUUUGAGAAAUGGGAAAAACACGGAAAAAUUCCGCACGGUAAUUGUUUUAACGUGAGUUUUAAAUGUCAUUGUUUGACUUAUGUCAGAAAAGUCCCUCUUAGCUAAUUCUCACAUACGCUGUUACCAAAUAUGUCACCUUAAAAAUGGCAAAUGUUGGUCUUAACUUUGCUGAUCUCCAAGGCUUUCAGAGAUAUCCGUAGCCCGAGUGGAAACAUUCCAAAGUUUUAGAUUGUGCAGGCUUUUUUUUUUUUUUUUUUUAAGAUUACUUAGAUAUCGAUUUUAUUUUCUUGACCCAAAAUAAGAAAACACGGGGAAUUCUCAAAAGCUUUUUACAGGCUGCUAUUAUGAGAAGAGAAGCCAAACCAACAUCUAUUAGGUCAUGAGCUUGAAGUGCAUAAAUAAGCCCAUGAAGGUCACCAAAACAGGGCAGAAACCACCAGUUCUCCUCACCUCGGCCAAGUCUGAAUUCCUGCCUGUUAGAUAUGUGUAUGGUUGAAGUGGACACAGAAAGGGGGUUUCUGAGCCCACGGUUGAAAGAUCUCGACGUUCCUGGGUAAAGCGAGAUGGAAAGGCUGGGAUUCCCAUCUUCUUUGGAUCCCUCCCUCUCACCAAAAAAAAAAAAAAAAAAAAAAAAAGGUUCUGGGGCCACCCUUUUCUCCAAAGCAAAUGUUUCAUUCCUGGUGUCUGGAUAUGCAGAAGCCAGAGGUCAAAAUGGCUUGGGUUCCUUCUGGUCCAUUUCUUCACCCCAUCGCCUUCCUGGAAUAACUUUGUGAUUAAGGUAUUGGUCGUUUCCAAAACAGUUUUUUGUUCCUGGGAACAAGCAUGUGGGUUUUUUUGUUUGUUUUUUGUUGUUUUUUUUUAGCAUGUGGGGUGCGACGUGCGACGUGUAAGUACAAACCUUUAGGUCUUCUUUGAUAGGCAGCUCCCUGAAAUACAGAGAGAGGAGGAGAGUCCCCGAGUUUGGUACCAACCCCCACACUGAUGGAAAUUCCACGGAGGGAGAAACCCUCCUCCUUGGAGAGACAGAAAGAGUAUCGCUGCAAAAACGGUUGUUUUCUUUUAUGGGUGUGUACUAUUUGCCCAUAUGGGGCCUUUUGUUUCAGAGUGUUCUAGAAACACUGGUCUCCCCAGCAAAGGUCUGAAUGCCCUUCCGAGUUGGGAAGGGGGCGGAGCAGAAGGAACACGGAGGGCAGAUUCCUGCACCUCUGGCCUUUUGUGCCCCUGGUACAGUAGAGGGAAGCGGUGACUCGCCGCUUGGAUGGUGUCCUAUGGCAUAACAAGUUGUGACUUGCCACUUGUGUUGUAAACAGAGUUUUGGCCCCAUCCAGCUGAGAAGAAGAAUGGAGCUGAGAAGAUUAUUCACCUCUGGGCUGCGAUGGGCUGGGGGCUCUCUGGUGUUCUCCUCUUGCUAAAGAGGCCCUACUCCCUGAAGACUUGAACGUUGGAGGGUGGAGGGAAGGGCAGUGGGAGGGGAGAAUGUCUGAAAGUCAGCAAAUGUCUGAAAUGCUCCAAAUGUCUUCCCACAAGAAAAAGCGAUAAAAAAAAAAAAGACAUAGAAGCAGGCUUUUGGGGGGGAUGGGUGGUGAGCAGAGAGAUUGGGGGGGCUUGCUUGUGAUUUGAUCCAGAGUGGAGAGUUUUCUGACACCUUGGGGCCCCUGGAAUGCCUUGCUGUGUGCCUUUAGGAACCUGAUUUGGGAAAUGUCUUGCCCUGCAGCUUUACUGCCUUGUCUUUGUGCUUACUUUUAGUGAAUGCAUUUUUUGUUUUGUUUCUCAAAGAGACCCAAGACAAGGGGCCCAUAGUCAUUGAACAUUGACUAUGCACCCGGCACUGUGCUAAGCAAACACUCAUAUUUCUGACUCCAAAGAGCCUUAGAUGGAAUGUGCUAUUAUUAUGGUAAUGACCAUCCCUAUUUCAUAGAUGCAAAAAUAGGAUCUCUUAUUAGAGGUGAAGUAACUCAUCCAGGGUUACAUGGCUCAAGUCAGACCCAGGAUUGACUGGGAUCAAACCCAGUUUUGAUUCCUAACCACUAGGAUAUCCAGCCUCCCUGCCCUCCCCCUCCCCCCCUGAACGAGAGCUACAUUUCCUUCACGUGUCUGCCCUGGAAAGCUAGAUUUUAAAGUCAGUCUCCAGUUGUGUUGCCUGGGUGAUAUUAAUGGAUGGUCAGGAACAAAAGUAGAGUUCAGAAAUAAGACGCAUCCCCUGGAUCUCACAGCAUCUUGAGCCUGUCCUUGGGGAAUAAUGAAAGUUUAGCACUGGAAUCUAUGGUCUAAGCUAUUGCCUGUGGCCACUUCUGUGCUAACAGCAUUGAGUAGUUACUCUAGAGACUGUGUGACCUUUUACAGAAUGUUUUCUAACCUCCGAGCUAUUGUAAUAUGACAAGACAAAUUUUGUUGACAAGGAAGAACAUGCACUUGGAACAUUGCAUGCACCAUUUUUCUGAUUUAUUAUUUAUUGAAUGCCUCCUAUAUGCCUGAUACAUUGUAUGGUGAUGGGGGAGAGCUACAGAUGCAUUCAUUCUUUCACUAUUUAUUCAGCAUUAUUUAUUGAGUUGUGUUCUAGGCCUUGGGCUAAUUACUGGGGAGCCAAAGGCAAGAAGCACCCAAUCUGGCACCUCUGAUUUUUUUCACCAAUAACACACAGCCUCUUCUUUCCUCUUGAGGCUUCAGUGGGCAAUGAUAUGACUUCUCGAGCUUUCCAAUAUCCAGGCAGCAGGAUGGAGAGAAAGGCCCAGCUUUGCAGGCUCUUAUACAAAGAAGCCAUUCUCGGUUUGAUAAGAGCAGUCUACUGGCUUCUGUGCCUAGAACUGUGUCUGAUAAUACCCAUGGCUUGCUUCCUGCCUCGAACAGACAACAACCUUCUGCUUCCCUUAAAGGGUGGUGGGGACACACUACUAUACAUAAAA
rnacentral:lncRNA from 1 species